UCUUAAGGAUCAUGGACAGUGCCCU
rnacentral:miRNA from 1 species